CUUUGGUGAGAGCUUGUGACAGACAGUAUUGUCUGGAACAGUAUAUUGAAGGCACUGGAAGCCAGACGUCGCGGCCAAAGGAAUAACCGAAUCGACGCUGCUCUCUUUUGGCCCAUAAUUAGGGGAGAUAAAGUUACUAGAGUCAAGGAAACUGGGAGACCGAGAAUAUUCAACAUAUUGGCCGAAGAAGGAAAGAACUGUCACCGAGCUAUGCAGUUCGGUGAUUUCUGAGUUCCACAAAGGCUGUGUGGGGGAAGUAACCUUCAGUCUGAUGGCAUUACUGGGGUCAGCGGAAUGGCCAGAUGGACUGCUCUUUCCGCAAGAUGGAGAGACAAAGGAAAACGAAGAAUUAUAAUUACCAUCGAGUAUUCGUGGGAAGUCGUCUUCAGUUUGUUACCAGCCCGCCUAAAAGGACUCGCUCUACAUUACUGAGCUCAUCGGUGGAGUGGACGAAAACGUACCAUAGGAGAGAGAGAGAGAGAGAGAGAGAGAGAGAAGAGAGAGAUUCCGCCUCGUGUCGGAUGGAAGAAGGAUCGGGAAGGAGAUAAACCUUUAGUUCUGAGUUUUGACGAAUCGCCUUCGAUACAGUCUUAUCUGAAAGGCAGAAAUAACAUGGUCCAGUCAAAAUAGGAGAGUGCUAUUUACGAAAAGGGGAAGAUAAGACCAAUUUACACAGUGAAAAUGGGAUGGAUAAACGCAAUAGUCAUCGAAAUGGGCUCCUAGGUUUUAUGUUCAUGUAAAAUUGACAAAUUAAACUAAACCAUCUAUUUCAAGGUAAGUUUUAAACAGAAAACAAAGUAAUUUUAUCUACCUGAAAUGUUUAAGUUUUACAUUAAUGAAAGUCAUUGUGGAUAAGGUUCGUUUCCUAUAGCAUAUCAAAUCAAGUUUAACUGCCAUUUAUUUUAUCAAACUUUUACAUCAACGCUAGAAAAUCAUUGAAUAAUACUGCGUUGAUUUACAGUUGUGUACGGAAACAAAAAUUACAUGUAAGAAAGGGAGUCUGUCCUGCUACCCCCAUUUUAAUUUUCCUUAAUUUCUGAACAUUUAAGAAUAUUUACUUUAUUCGUUUUUAAGUUAUUUCCAGUUCAUCCCCAAUUACGUUUUGUCUUGUAACGCAGAUAUUUACUUUUUUAUUUUGAAAUAUAAGUAAUCGCCUCGUUUGUAACAUACUGGUAAUAGCUAUCCUCAGAUGGUUCUUAAUUCAGUUAUUUUGCUAACAAUUAGCUUUAAGAGUUCUUGUUAUUCUUGUAAUCAGUUUCCCAUCAAAUAACCUCCCAUUCUAAUGUAAAUCAUUCUUUAAUAUCCUUAAAUUUUCUAAUCCUCUCGUAUGAUCCAGUUUCCUUUUUCACCAUAUUUUCUUAUAUUGUUUAAUUGAAGACAUAUUUAUAUUCAUGUCCUCUAAAUACAUUGCAGUCUUUACCUUCAUUUGCAAUUGAUCUUAAUAUUGUAAGUAAAAAAUUUUGUAAUUAUGGUUAACAAAGGUUGUAUCAAGACUGGCAUUCCUUCGCAUGAUAUAGGAACUUUUUGUUAAGACUAGGACCUUUUUGAUCAAUUAUUAGAAAGUUUUGGACAAUUGAUUGCAAUUCAGCCAUGUUGCAGGGGCCCCCAUCCCAAAACAAAGAAGAAAUGCACUCCGUUGUCAAAAAAUUCAUAACUAUGCAUGGAAAAUGGCCAUAUUUGGAUAAUUGAUUGCAGUAUGAUCAUAUUGCAGGGAGACAAAGUAGGCCUUACUAUUCAGGCAUUUUUUGCCUACUGCAAUGUGUUCGGUUGCAAUCAAUUAUCCAAAUAUGCUCAUUACUCAUGGAUAGUCAUCAAUUGCUUGCCAACAGGCUGCAUUUUAUAUAAUACUUAUUAUUAAAGAUUAAAGAAUCUAUGUUGUUCCUAUAUGUCACUUGUGUGAUGAUAUGUAACAGAUAAUAGAUUUCAUUUUCGACAAAUUUAGGAUGUUCUGCUCUUACACCUUGUUAGCUACUAAAUACAUAAAAUCAUUGGAAGUGUAAUGAAAUAUAUAAACCUGUUCUAUACACGCAAUGUUUUUUUUAUUUUCCUUGAAUUAAGAAUGUAACCAGUCAGUCCUUUUUGGCGUAUAUGACUACACUACCCUCAUGCAUUUUAGCCAAA